AACGAACGCUGGCGGCAUGCCUAACACAUGCAAGUCGAACGAAACCUUCGGGUCUAGUGGCGCACGGGUGCGUAACGCGUGGGAACCUGCCCUUAGGUUCGGAAUAACUCCCCGAAAGGGGUGCUAAUACCGGAUAAUGUCUUCGGACCAAAGAUUUAUCGCCUUUGGAUGGGCCCGCGUUGGAUUAGCUGGUUGGUAGGGUAAAAGCCUACCAAGGCGUGGAUCCAUACCUGGUCGGAGAGGAUGGUCAGCCACACUGGGACUGAGACACGGCCCAGACUCCUACGGGAGGGGGCAGUGGGGAAUAUUGGAAAACGGGCGAAGGCAUGAUCCAGCAAGGACCCGAGAAUUAUGAUGUCCUUAGGGUUGUAAAGCUCUUUUACCCGGGAUGAUAAUGACAGUACCGGGAGAAUAAGCCCCGGCUAACUCCGUG
rnacentral:rRNA from 1 species